rnacentral:misc_RNA from 1 species
AGAAGCGAUGGGCUUGACAGUGGCGUCACCGGCAUGAUUAGCUCGGUCAUCAUCGGAAUCGUAUUCAGAAUCAGACCCAUCAGACUCAGACUCGGGCCCAGCUUUCUGGGUAGUAGAAUCGGGCUUCUUGGGAACUGGCUUUGCCGGUUGGGUCUGUGGUGGUAGAGAAGAGGGUUUUUGUGGUUUCCCCUCUGUUUCGUCAUCUUCAGAUGAAGAUCCCUCUGCCUCUUCUCCGUCUUCUUCUUCUUCUUCUUCUU